GUCGAGAAUCAUUCGCAAUGGGCGCAAGCCUGACGAUGCGACGCCGUGUGAACGAAGAAGGCCUUCGGGUCGUAAAGUUCUUUCGCCUGGGAACAAGAGAGGAUGGCUAAUAUCUGUCUAAUUUGAGGGUACCAGGUAAAGAAGCACCGGCUAACUCCGUGCCAGCAGCUGCGGUAAUACGGAGGGUGCAAGCAUUAAUCGGAUUUAUUGGGCGUAAAGGGCGUGUAGGCGGAAGUGUAAGUCAGAUGUGAAAGACCGGAGCUCAACUUCGGGACCGCAUUUGAAACUGUAUUUCUAGAGGAUAGGAAGGGGAAACGGAAUUCCAUGUGUAGCGGUGAAAUGCGUAGAUAUAUGGAAGAACACCCGUGGCGAAGGCGGUUUCCUAGCUUAUUCCUGACGCUGAGGCGCGAAAGCAGGGGGAGCAAACAGG
rnacentral:rRNA from 1 species